rnacentral:ncRNA from 1 species
UGUCUUCGGGGCGGGGUGAAAUUCCCCACCGGCGGUAAAAGCCCGCGAACGCUUGGCCCGCUGCUUUGGCAGGGGCGAAGCGCCGAUCCGGUGUAAUUCCGGAGCCGACGGUGAGACGCAGGGGGAUCCCUCUCUGCGGCGAGUCCGGAUGGAAGAAGAU